UUGAACGCUGGCGGCAGGCCUAACACAUGCAAGUCGAGCGGUAGCACAGAGAGCUUGCUCUCGGGUGACGAGCGGCGGACGGGUGAGUAAUGUCUGGGAAACUGCCUGAUGGAGGGGGAUAACUACUGGAAACGGUAGCUAAUACCGCAUAAUGUCGCAAGACCAAAGUGGGGGACCUUCGGGCCUCAUGCCAUCAGAUGUGCCCAGAUGGGAUUAGCUAGUAGGUGGGGUAACGGCUCACCUAGGCGACGAUCCCUAGCUGGUCUGAGAGGAUGACCAGCCACACUGGAACUGAGACACGGUCCAGACUCCUACGGGAGGCAGCAGUGGGGAAUAUUGCACAAUGGGCGCAAGCCUGAUGCAGCCAUGCCGCGUGUGUGAAGAAGGCCUUCGGGUUGUAAAGCACUUUCAGCGGGGAGGAAGGCGUUAAGGUUAAUAACCUUGGCGAUUGACGUUACCCGCAGAGGAAGCACCGGCUAACUCCGUGCCAGCAGCCGCGGUAAUACGGAGGGUGCAAGCGUUAAUCGGAAUUACUGGGCGUAAAGCGCACGCAGGCGGUCUGUCAAGUCGGAUGUGAAAUCCCCGGGCUCAACCUGGGAACUGCAUUCGAAACUGGCAGGCUAGAGUCUUGUAGAGGGGGGUAGAAUUCCAGGUGUAGCGGUGAAAUGCGUAGAGAUCUGGAGGAAUACCGGUGGCGAAGGCGGCCCCCUGGACAAAGACUGACGCUCAGGUGCGAAAGCGUGGGGAGCAAACAGGAUUAGAUACCCUGGUAGUCCACGCCGUAAACGAUGUCGAUUUGGAGGUUGUGCCCUUGAGGCGUGGCUUCCGGAGCUAACGCGUUAAAUCGACCGCCUGGGGAGUACGGCCGCAAGGUUAAAACUCAAAUGAAUUGACGGGGGCCCGCACAAGCGGUGGAGCAUGUGGUUUAAUUCGAUGCAACGCGAAGAACCUUACCUGGUCUUGACAUCCACAGAACUUUCCAGAGAUGGAUUGGUGCCUUCGGGAACUGUGAGACAGGUGCUGCAUGGCUGUCGUCAGCUCGUGUUGUGAAAUGUUGGGUUAAGUCCCGCAACGAGCGCAACCCUUAUCCUUUGUUGCCAGCGGUUCGGCCGGGAACUCAAAGGAGACUGCCAGUGAUAAACUGGAGGAAGGUGGGGAUGACGUCAAGUCAUCAUGGCCCUUACGACCAGGGCUACACACGUGCUACAAUGGCAUAUACAAAGAGAAGCGACCUCGCGAGAGCAAGCGGACCUCAUAAAGUAUGUCGUAGUCCGGAUUGGAGUCUGCAACUCGACUCCAUGAAGUCGGAAUCGCUAGUAAUCGUAGAUCAGAAUGCUACGGUGAAUACGUUCCCGGGCCUUGUACACACCGCCCGUCACACCAUGGGAGUGGGUUGCAAAAGAAGUAGGUAGCUUAACCUUCGGGAGGGCGCUUACCACUUUGUGAUUCAUGACUGGGGUG
rnacentral:rRNA from 1 species